rnacentral:rRNA from 1 species
AUUGAACGCUGGCGGGAUGCCUAACACAUGCAAGUCGAACGAGCGGCGGACGGGUGAGUAAUAUCUCGGAACGUGCCCAGUGGAGGGGGAUAACUACUCGAAAGGGUGGCUAAUACCGCAUACCAUCAGAGCUGCCCAUAUGGGAUUAGCUAGUUGGGGGGGUAAAGGCUCACCUAGGCGACGAUCCGUAGCUGGUGUGAGAGGACGACCAGCCACACUGGGACUGAGACACGGCCCAGACUCCGACGGGAGGCAGCAGUGGGGAAUCUUGGACAAUGGGCGAAAGCCUGAUGCAGCAAUGCCGCGUGUAUGAGAAGGCCUUCGGGUUGUAAAAUACUUUUAGUAGGGAAGCGGUACCUGCAGAAAAAGCAACGGCUAACUACGUGCCAGCAGCCGCGGUAAUAC